rnacentral:lncRNA from 1 species
UCCCCCCACUGCGCCCCAGGAGGGACACACAAAGUCGCUCGCUGGUGCUGGGUGGGGGCAUUUCACCCUGUCUCCAGCGUGGACCCCACGGCAGGGGUGGCUGGGGGGCUGAGCCUCUUUUUCCUGUAUGCACCCCCCGGAAAUCCCCAACCUCCUGUGUUCUCACACGCAUACAGAUCCACGUAUGCACAAGCACACACAGAAACACACGGGGUGUGGACACAGGUGCCCCCAGCCACGCAGGGGUGCCAGCAGCAGCUCGAUCCCCUAGAGACACGUGUGCACACCGUCCACACGUGUGUACACGCACACAGACGCUCGGACAUCCGAAACGUGUGUACCUGUCCCCACCCCCCCACACACACACCCACGCUUGAACACCUGGGCGCCAGACUCAGGGCCACCCGCGCACGCACAGCGACACGCAGGGCCGCGCACACGCAUCUCGGCCACACGCGCACACCCUCCACGUGGACGCGCGGAUACACACACCCGGGACUCGUAGACGCGCACCCCCGCAGCCAGAAAAAGGCCCCCCACGCCGCGCCUGGUCGCCUCCAGCCACCGCCCGUCCCAGCCGCGUACCCGCCGCGCGCCCCGGACGCGCACCCUCGCGCGCACAGCGGCCCCUCCCGCGCACGCCCGGGGUCCCCCCAGAGUCCCCUGGUCCCCCCACUGCCCCACGGUCUCUCCCCCCAACCCCGCCGCCGCGCUCACCUGUUCAGGGGGCGCCCCCGGGCCGCACCCCGCGCCCGCCCCCAGGAGGGCCCCCGCGCGCCGGCUGCGCACCCCGAGGCGGCCUCGGCUGCACAACUUGGAGCAAGUUGCUCCGUUUCCUCAUUUUGGGGGGGGAGGAGGGCUGGGGUUGGGGGGAGCAGGAGGCGCGCGGCCUGGGAGGCCCCCGCGGGUCCUAGCGCCGGCCGCACUGCGGUCUGCUCGGCGCGCCGCCGCCGCCGCCGCCGGCCCCUCCCCGCCCCGCCCCCGCGGCCCCCGGCACCUCCCGCCGCCUGGGCGGGGGCUGGUGGCGCUCGCGGGCUCCCCGCCGCUCUCCGGCCUGGCGCCGCGGGGCGCGCACCCCGCCCGCCCCGGGAUGCGGACGCAUCGGAGAGUGAAUGGGGUCCCGCACUUGCGCGCGCGCAGGAGCGCACGGGGAGGGGAGGUCGAGUGAGCUGCCCAUCCGGGGAGGUAAGCAAGCCGCGGAGCCCAGACGACACCAUGGACUCUUCUGACUACGAUUCCAACGUCCUCAGUCACCUCCUCUGCCAACGGGGAGGGCACCUUUAG